UGAUAAGGUGAUUCCCUAGCUUAUGAGCUU
rnacentral:sRNA from 1 species